rnacentral:rRNA from 1 species
AGUGAACGCUGGCGGUAGGCCUAACACAUGCAAGUCGAACGGCAGCACAGUAAGAGCUUGCUCUUACGGGUGGCGAGUGGCGGACGGGUGAGGAAUACAUCGGAAUCUACUUUUUCGUGGGGGAUAACGUAGGGAAACUUACGCUAAUACCGCAUACGACCUACGGGUGAAAGCAGGGGAUCUUCGGACCUUGCGCGAUUGAAUGAGCCGAUGUCGGAUUAGCUAGUUGGCGGGGUAAGGGCCCACCAAGGCGACGAUCCGUAGCUGGUCUGAGAGGAUGAUCAGCCACACUGGAACUGAGACACGGUCCAGACUCCUACGGGAGGCAGCAGUGGGGAAUAUUGGACAAUGGGCGCAAGCCUGAUCCAGCCAUACCGCGUGGGUGAAGAAGGCCUUCGGGUUGUGAAGCCCUUUUGUUGGGAAAGAAAAGCAGCAGGUUAAUACCCCGCUGUUCUGACGGUACCCAAAGAAUAAGCACCGGCUAACUUCGUG